ensembl:rRNA 5S_rRNA 5S ribosomal RNA
GUCUACGGCCAUACCACCCUGAACGUGCUCGAUCUCGUCUGAUCUUGAAAGCUAAGCAGGGUCGGGCCUGGUUAGUACUUGGAUGGGAGAGAAAGAUGGUGAGGGCAAUGGGUGGCUGUGUGUG